GACGGAGGAUGCAAGCGUUAUCCGGAAUGAUUGGGCGUAAAGCGUCCGCAGGUGGCAGUUCAAGUCUGCUGUCAAAGACCGGGCUUAACUUCGGAAAGGCAGUGGAAACUGAACAGCUAGAGUAUGGUAGGGGCAGAGGGAAUUCCUGGUGUAGCGGUGAAAUGCGUAGAGAUCAGGAAGAACAUCGGUGGCGAAGGCGCUCUGCUGGACCAUAACUGACACUCAGGGACGAAGCUAGGGGAGCGAAUGGG
rnacentral:rRNA from 1 species